UACAAAGGGGGCAAGCGUUGUUCGGAAUUACUGGGCGUAAAGGGCGCGUAGGCGGCCUGCUAAGUCGAACGUGAAAUCCCUGGGCUUAACCCAGGAACUGCGUCCGAUACUGGCAGGCUUGAAUCCGGGAGAGGGAUGCGGAAUUCCAGGUGUAGCGGUGAAAUGCGUAGAUAUCUGGAGGAACACCGGUGGCGAAGGCGGCAUCCUGGACCGGCAUUGACGCUGAGGCGCGAAAGCCAGGGGAGCAAACGGG
rnacentral:rRNA from 1 species